rnacentral:RNase_P_RNA from 2 species
AAACUCCACCCGGAGCAAGGCCAAAUAGGGGUUCACAUGGUACGGCCCGUACUGAACCCGGGUAGGCUGCUUGAGCCAGUGAGCGAUUGCUGGCCUAGAUGAAUGACUGUCCACGACAGAACCCGGCUUAUCGGUCAGCUUCAACU